rnacentral:tRNA from 2 species
UCCUGGUUAACUCAGGUGGUAGAGCGCUCCACUGGAAAUGGAGGAGAACCUGGUUCCAUUCCAGAACGAGGCA